rnacentral:lncRNA from 1 species
UAUUUUCUCCCAAUUUAAACCAAUGUAAUUGCUUCCAUUGCUGUCGGUCUCCUGUGGUGUAGUGGUUGUAGCGCUGGCCCUAUGACCAAGAGGUCCGGGUUCGAUUCCCGGCCAGGUGAUCUAUGUUUGAUGGUCUGGUCUCAGGCAAUGGUCACCUGGGGCUGGGGUAAUAAGCGUGGGAUAAGCCGAUAGGCUAUUUGAAAUUGGUAAAAAAAAAAAAAAAAAAAAAAAAGUUUCAUCGCUUUGGGGGAAAGUGUAGACUUAAGCUAUGGUGCUAAGACUUCAGAAUCAUCUUUUGGGGACCAAAAGGAAUGGGGAAAAGCCCGGGGAGCAAGAUUUUGAGACGGUUGUCUGGAAACGGAUGACCCUAAGCUGGACGCUUCUAUACGAAGGUAUUUGAGAUUUCCCGCUCGUUUCAUUCGUCCAGCUACGAGGGUAAUUUUAUCUCGUUUUCAAUUCUAUUUCUGGCACUCCUGCUAUCAUUUAUUACGGAGCGGUCAGGCGUUCUAUGCUUCGAGUUGAAGCAGUGCGUUCUUGAGCUUUAGUACGGGUGAUAUCUUUAGUCGUUCUUCUCUUGCAUUCACCUUUAAAAUGAUAUUAAUUUACAUGUUCCUCAUUUCUCAGACGUGCGGUAUCCUGAUGCCAUCCGAUGGAGAUGUCGAGGACUCGCCUACGCAUUUGAUGCCACUUCUUCGUACGCCAUUUGUUCAGCGCCAUGAUUUGAAGAGGAAGCUACCUUAUGGAAAGUCACGUUUUGUAACAAUGGUUAAAGAUAACAAUUUGAUCGUGGACAAGACCGCCUGGAUCGCAGAAGCGUUGACAGGACCUCGAUUCAAGCUCAUUACGCGGCCUCACCACUUCGGGAAGACGACAAACUUAUCUAUGCUGCAAGCAUUUCUAACGAAGGACCAAAUGCUAGAAUCAAGGGACAUAUUUGCAGGUUUUGCUAUUGGUAACGAUACUAAGUUCGAAAAAAUUAGGACGGAACAUCAGCAUAAGUAUGCGGUUCUUUAUUUUCAUUUUUUUAUUUGUAGCUACGCCAUAAACGCUUUGCAUGUUCGAGAAAAGUUCAUGUCAGUUGUGAGAAGCUCGUUGCAUUCCCAUCAUCAUAAAUACUCUCGGCUUUUUCGGCCGGAUGAAACACGAUUCAUACAAAACAAAGUAUAUGGGGACGGAGACCUUUCGCAAGUUCUAGCGGGGUAUGACCAAUUAAUAAGGAAACUUCAAGCUAACGGUUACAAAAUAGCUAUUUUUGUUGAUGAUUAUGAUGCGCCAUUUCAAAAUGCAAUUGAAAAAAGAAUAUACACGACUAACGCAAGGUGGCUUUUCAUUGAUGCUAAAGUGUACACAGAAGCUGAAAAUUUGAUGAGACAAUUUUAUUUGUAUUUUUUCAGGGACGGUCUAAAAAUCCCUCCUGAUUGUGGUAUAAUUAUUGGGAUGUUUUAUAUGGCAAAAACCAGUAUAUUUUCUGAUAUUACGAAUUUCAAAGCUUACACCACCCUUGGAGAUGAUAAAUUUGGACCCUACUUUGGUUUCUCGGAACACGAGGUGAAAUGGCUUAUUGAUUCCUUAGAGACAAACUUGACGUAUAAAGAAUUUGAAGAGUGGUAUGACGGAUAUCACCUUGGUCAUAAUGUAGUAUUUAACCCGUUCGAUGUUACGUCAGGACUUGGAAGAGGCUCUUGGAAGAAGGACUGGGAGAGGAACUUGGAAGAUUUGUACUGGGCAGGAGCGAGUUCUCUAACCAGGAUCAUGCAUCUUAUUAAGUGUACAGGCUGGUACGGUAUGCUAGACCUCCAUUUUCUCCUUGGUCGACAGCCAUUGAGAAAAGAACUCCAAGAAGAUUUAAUAUUUACAGAUCUGCUGAAAACGGAAAAGUCCUACUGGACUUUUCUAACCGAUUAUGGAUACGUCGAAGCUGCAAAACUGGACAUGGAAUCGUCAGCAAAUUGGACAUUCACGUUACGAAUCCCGAACAAAGAACUGAGAGUUUAUCUAAUGACCUAUUUUAAAUCUGAAUUAGAGGAAACAAAGAGAAAGUAUGAAAGCUUUGUUCACGCUUUUAAUCAUUUGAAUAACGAAACCUCUGAUUUUACGAAUUUUGUAUUGGCUCGUUUCAACACUCGCGCGCUUUAUUAUAUGCUUCCCGAGAAUGCGGGUUUAGAAACGUUUGUAACCACUUUCGAAUCAUUGUUCGUCGGUUUUGAAUUCAACUACCACUUGUUGGGCGCUUUAAAUAUGAACAGGACAUCUGUUUAUCAGAUUUUAUUCAUCAAGAACGACACUGCUCAUGCAUUUAACAUCGCAAAGAUGGACGCCGUAGCAUCUCACAAUGCUUCACCUGAUAUCGACGAGCUACUGCACCUACCUCUGAUCGAAGAGAACUUGUCAGUCAUGAAAAAGCUGACCAUCUCCCGAUUUUAUAGAGCCGGGAUCAUGAUCAUCGGAAAAUUAGGGAAAGACAGCCGUCACGAAUAUUCGAUUGCGAUCAAAACGACGGUCAGUGAAGGGAUGCAACUUAUUAAAGAUCACCUUUUCCCCCACACCCACGGGUGAAUAGCUCAACCGGACACUUCUACGUUAAAAGGAAUGGACCAGUAGACAAGGCACAAAUUUCAGCAUUCUGAUACACGUUUCGCAACCAAAAUUUCACUCAAAACACGAUGCGCAUAACGAAAAUUACCGUGAUCAACUCCUUACGAAGAUAUUUAAUGAUUCUUGAUGGGUGAAUUCAAAACACCCGCUCAUGAAAACUCAAUGCUCUACGUGACUCAUAUCGCGCGCUAAACGUUACCUCCACAGUCUCUGUGAUAUAAAAAUCUGGAAACCCCAAUCUUGACGCUUUGGCUCAGCUUCAGCAAAUUUUUUAUAGUUUGAAGGACACGGGGUGGGAAAUAAACAUUGCUCGAUUGAGAAGCUUGCUGAGACCGUUGUAGUGAGCGAUUUGACUCACGUAAAGCUUUGAGUUUCUUGUGAGCGGGCAGUUCAAAUUCCUCGUAACCAAUGUGUAAUAAAAACGUUAAUAUCUUCGUUAAGAGUUCGUCUCAGUAAUUUUUGUUGUAAGAAUCGUGUUUUACGUGAAAUUCUGAUUGAGAAACAUGUAUCAGGUUGCUUAAAUUCGUACCUUGUCUAGUGGUCCAUUAUGUGCCGGUGAAUGAAGUUAAAAGGAACCAAUACCUAUAGGAAUUGCGUGCAACACGGUUCCUCUAGGUUUGGUUCAUUUGCACAUAAUCCCUUUUAGGCUAAAUACGUCCGUUAGCUAUACUGCCGCGCCAAGGAAAAACGCCACAUUAGCUUGCAGGAGUUGCCAGAUUAUCCGCAAUAAAAGCCGAAUUAACUGGAAAUGUUUUGAAUGUUUUUCUUCAAAUUUUUCGGAUGGUUCUGAUCGUAAUUUAAUUUAAAAUACCUGAAAAUUUCAAGGAAAAAUACAGGGUCUUCAAAAGUUCAGCUCCCCCCCUGUAACUUUUGAACGGUUGCACCUAGCGAAAUGAAAUUUUUACAGUGUUCCUAGGUCAAUAGGAACUACUUUUGGGCAUACUCAAAAUUUCGUAAAAAAAAAUUUCAAAAAUUCAAAAAAAAAAUUUAAAUAAUUUUAAAAUUUCAAAAAAUCGUAGAGAUCCUCACAAUAGCUCAAAAAUUUUCUUUUUUUAUCCUCUUCCUGAAAAUGCCAUAAAAAAUGGGGGUUGCUAUUUGAAAAUUUUGAGUUGGGGUCCGCCCAGCAGCACUCGGGCGCCGCCCCCAAAUUUUGAGUAUGCCCAAAAGUAGUUCCUAUUGACCUAGGAACACUGUAAAAUUUCAUUUCGCUAGGUGCAACCGUUCAAAAGUUACGGGGGGGGGGGGGGGGAGCUGAACUUUUUGAAGACCCUGUAUGAGUAACACUCCUGGAAAAUACGACAUGAUUAAUCUGUGGAAAUUUCGCAACUCUCGAAUGAUCAUACGGGUUUUUUCCUUAGCACGGCAGAGGAGGUAUCCGCGGUAGGCAGCCAGUGGCGUGGCGUGAAUUGCGAUGUAUCGAUUGUUGUGUCAUUUAAACCUAUUGUAAAGAAUCGAUUAUUAAGGUGUUCGCUGCGAACACCCUGUCUAUCGAUCCUUUUUCAUAGGUUUAAAUGGCAUAACAAUCGAUAUAUCGCAAAGCACGCCACGCCACUGUAGGCAGCAGGCUCAUGCAGACUCGUCCGCGAGGUUAGGUAGCCUUAAUCAGCACCUACGCUUAAGGUGCCUUAUUUUGUGAAAAGGAAAAUGCUUCAGAACAAAAAUCAAGUUCUCCGCUUAUGUGAUGUACACUAUAUACUAAAAAAUAGAUUAAAAUUUACACAGCAGUUGAUUUGGUGCUUAAAUGACCUUAAUCUGAGAAUUUCGUUCAAAAACUGGUUUCAUCUAUGCUACAGAAUCAUGUCCUGAUACAGAGUCUUAAGGUCGUAUAAGGAAUAUGUCAAUUUUCUGAUGAGCCCUCCAAUACAUGCAUUCAUAUGAGUCCAAGGCUCAUUGGAAAAUUGGGAUGCUCCCUAAUGACUUCAACUGGAAUGACAUAUUUUUUAAUUUUCAUAAUUCCAUAGAAUUUUCUAUUUAUUCUACUUAUUAAGGAUAUGUGUCUACUCACAAAUCCGUGUUAUUAUUUAGGUAUCAAGUCAACAUUUCAUGAUGAGCCAUGAAAUGCAUGUAUUAAUAUGGUUGCCUGGGCUCAUCUAAGAAUCGUUAUUUUCUCUUCAUAAAAAUAUGGAUUUACGAGUCCCGAAACUCUCUCUCUGAAACUAUCACUCCGAACUGCUCUUAGAGAGUAGAAUGAAUAUGAUGAUUAUUAAACUUCAGAAAUAACCUCAUUUGAGUCAUUCCACCUCAUGAGUCGGAAAUAAGUUUCUCGAGUAAAAACAUUGAAACUUGAUUUCUGGCUGUUCACGCCUUCAGGGUCGAGCAUGCGUUUUCAAUGGGUCACUAAACCUUGUUUAUUUUAUUGAAUAUUCUGAAAGUACAAUGUGAGCAGAUAACGUAGUGAUUUUUCCGCAUUUUUAUUGAGCCGAAAUCGCGGAGAAACCCGCUUUUGAAAAAUCUAAAAACUGCAAGACAUUUCAAACGCACCCGAAUGGCGGGAAACUGACGGUGUUGACGCACUGCGGUAUAGUCAUAUCGCAAUCUUCUCUCAUUUUCCUCUGAUGUUUGUUAAAAAAAACCGUGUUUCAAUGUGGAAUUGUUGCUCGUUUAUUACAGCUAAUAUAUGAAUGAGAUUCAAGUCUUGAAUUCAAAAGAUAUAAUUUCGACUCUAGUUUUGUUUUCAUAUACGAAGAGUAGAUAGACAUUUGACGGAAGUCGUGGAAACCCAUGCCCGCUUCUGAUUGGUGCCGGAUGACAUCAUUCGGCGCGGCGCGAAAUCGGGGCGUUUUAAAUUUGCGUAUAAGUUGAGCGAGUUGAACUGCGCAUUUCUCGGUUAUUGAGUUACUUGUUCGCGUUUUUAAUGUGCGCAUCGUUUUCUACGCGUCAUUUUCCUUCAGAAUACUAUAUUCGCAAGUCAAAAUUCGUUCAUGGUUUAGUGACCCAUUGUGGACAGAAAAUUAAGUAACUCAAAUUUUACCCUCCAGCAAUCCUGUUUCAAAUGCGUAAAUGUAGUCCUUCCUUGAAGUUUACUACAAAUUAGCAUAGAAUCCUCUUGAGCGCUUUUGAAUUUAUUAAAAGAAGCAAUCAAGUGCUUACUUCCCUUUUCCGACACGGCUUUUACUGCACUUUAACAUCUUCCAUUAAGUAACUCACUGCAACUUCAAAGAAAGUCACGGUGCAAGAUUCCUCUCACAAGCUCUCCUCCCUCUUUCAGCAUGCCAAAAAAUAUGUAAUAAGUUCAUCGAUGGACCUCCGAAAAAUUCCAUGCCAAGUGGCUCUCCUCAAUUACACGGUACCUUUGGCAGAAAAAUUCCUGGUAAUGAUCAUGCUUGUGAUUCUCAAAAGUCAUGCACCACCACUUAACUUAAAAGAUUUGCAAAGGAAUUUAACGUAGCCUACUGUGGUUACUCACAAUUAUUAGUACAUAAUGUUGACAUUUUGAAAGAUAAUGGAAUAUUUCAAGUGGGACUGAGACUUUUUCUCACCAACUUCAAAUAGAAGCACUUAAUUAAGAGUAUCAAUGGGUCAGUUGUGCUGGUUUUAGCAUCGUGUUAUGAUGCUUGAUUCUUGUAGAUCAGCUAAAAAUAACAAGAUUCGUCCCAACAGCAACUUUCUACGCGUGCAAUAUUAACCGAGAUAUCAUCCUUUCAAAAGUCGGGUUUAUGACGUCAUCCACCGCGGUAGUGACACCCUUGGUUUCUUCGACCUUACCAUCAUUUUUCCAGGGAUGAAACAUUUUUACUAGUUAUUUAACGUGAAACUCAAAUGAAAGUAAAGUGGAAGAAACUAUUGAGAUCACUAGCGCGGUGGAUGACGUCAUAAACCGAGUUUUUCAAACGCGAUAUCUCGGAUAAUAUUGAACGUUGAAAGUUGCAGUUUGGACGGAUCAUAUUUUUUUCAGCUAAUAUACAAGAAUCAAGCUUCGAAACACGAUUCAAAGACCGGCGCAGUUGACCUAUUAAUCCCUCAAAAAGGAUGAUAACUGAUCGUUUUAAUUUUUAAAUGUUUUAGCUUUUGCCCCAUUUGAGAGUGAACAUUAAAUUGCUCCGAUAAACGCCUACUUAACUAACGCGUUUAUUAACUUUUUUCAGCCUUGUAAACCCAUUUUCUUGUGUAUUUCUUGUAAUAUAAUGAUAUGAAUUCGGGCUAUUUCGUCGUGUCCCUCUUAUGAUAUUUUUUUACAACGCUCUCGGUGAGUGCAUUUUUUGGAAUUGUGAUUUCAUUCAGUAGUUUCGAUUGAAAACUGGUUUACAUUAUUUUUAUCAAUGAAGAACGAAUUUAUCAAUUAACCAAUUAGCUCUGCUGGCAACUUUUGCAAUGAUGUAAAUUGAUCAUAAUGGCUUUUUUCAAUGGAACCUUCUAGUAGACACAUUUAAGACCGUACGCAGCUAGAAUUGUCAAAUAAUCUUUCACUGAAUUAUUCCCUAAUAAGGUAUUUAUAUUUACGUCACCUAAAAAUAUUAUGUUAGCAUUCUGGCUUAAUUCGCUAAGUUUGUUAUCAAAUUCAUGGACAAAUUUGACUUUACGUACUGUUAAUUGUUAAAGCACGCAUAAAUAAAUUUAUAGAACAUCAACAACACAUCUAUUUUCUUUAGCCCCCAAAUUUACAAUUCCACCUCCACACCUU